GCCGAGGUGGUGAAAUUGGUAUACACGCAGCCUUGAGGUGGCUGUGGGAGAAAUCCUGUGCAAGUUCGAGUCUUGUCCUCGGCA
rnacentral:tRNA from 1 species